GCUGGUAUUUAGAUCGCUACAAGUGACUUUCAAUAAUACAACCAUUCUUUCCGGAUCUAUUUUUAAUGCAGAUCGGCUGUUGGGUUGGGUAACAUAUCCUUUAUUUUGAUGAGUAAUAGCCACAUUAUAUGGUUCACUGUCUAAAAUAAGCUUCUUGAAAUAAUUUCCAACCGGAUCGAAUAAUAUAAGAUUCUUUUUGUCGUAGUCACAUACUAAAAUGUUUCCCUUUGUUAAAGCUGCUAUGCCAGUUAUUCGUCUGAACUCAUGAUUAAAAGAACAAUUAAAAGAAAACGAAUGUCUAACAUGUCCUGGAACUGCCAAUAUUUGUG
rnacentral:lncRNA from 1 species